rnacentral:rRNA from 1 species
AACGAACGCUGGCGGCAUGCCUAACACAUGCAAGUCGAACGAGACCUUCGGGUCUAUUGGCGCACGGGUGCGUACCGCGUGGUAACCUGCCCUUAGGUUCGGAAUAACUCCCCGAAAGGUGUGCUAAUACCGGAUAAUGUCUUCGGACCAAAGAUUUAUGGCCUUUGGAUGGGCCCGCGUUGGAUUCGCUAGUUGGUAGUGUAAAAGCCUACCAAGGCGACGAUCCAUAGCUGGUCUGAGAGGAUGAUAAGCCACACUGGGAAUGAGACACGGACCAGAAUCGUACGGGGGGGAGCAGUAGGGAAUAUUGGAGAAUGGGCGAAAGCCUGAUCAAGCAAUGCCGCGUGAGUGAUGAAGGCCUUAGGGUUGUAAAGCUCUUUUACCCGGGAUGAUAAUGACAGUACCGGGAGAAUAAGCUCCGGCUAACUCCGUG